rnacentral:rRNA from 1 species
UGGGGAAUAUUGCGCAAUGGGGGAAACCCUGACGCAGCAACGCCGCGUGGAGGAAGAAGGUCUUCGGAUUGUAAACUCCUGUCUUCUGGGACGAUAAUGACGGUACCAGAGGAGGAAGCCACGGCUAACUACGUGCCAGCAGCCGCGGUAAUACGUAGGUGGCGAGCGUUGUCCGGAAUUACUGGGCGUAAAGGGCGCGUAGGCGGUUCUUUAAGUUAGAUGUGAAAACCCAGGGCUUAACUUUGGGAGUGCAUUUAAAACUGAAGGACUCGAGUGCAGGAGAGGUAAGUGGAAUUCCUAGUGUAGCGGUGAAAUGCGUAGAUAUUAGGAGGAACACCAGUGGCGAAGGCGACUUACUGGACUGUAACUGACGCUGAGGCGCGAAAGCGUGGGGAGCGAA